UGGGGAAUAUUGGACAAUGGGCGAAAGCCUGAUCCAGCCAUGCCGCGUGUGUGAAGAAGGUCUUCGGAUUGUAAAGCACUUUAAGUUGGGAGGAAGGGCAGUAAGCGAAUACCUUGCUGUUUUGACGUUACCGACAGAAUAAGCACCGGCUAACUCUGUGCCAGCAGCCGCGGUAAUACAGAGGGUGCAAGCGUUAAUCGGAAUUACUGGGCGUAAAGCGCUCGUAGGUGGUUCGUUAAGUUGAAUGUGAAAGCCCCGGGCUCAACCUGGGAACUGCAUCCAAAACUGGCGAGCUAGAGUAGGGCAGAGGGUGGUGGAAUUUCCUGUGUAGCGGUGAAAUGCGUAGAUAUAGGAAGGAACACCAGUGGCGAAGGCGACCACCUGGGCUCAUACUGACACUGAGGUGCGAAAGCGUGGGGAGCAAACAGG
rnacentral:rRNA from 1 species